UACGGGGGGGGCAAGCGUUGUUCGGAAUUACUGGGCGUAAAGGGUUCGUAGGUGGCUUGCUAAGUCAGACGUGAAAUCCCUCAGCUUAACUGGGGAACUGCGUCUGAUACUGGCGAGCUUGAGUGCAGGAGAGGAAGGUGGAAUUCCAGGUGUAGCGGUGAAAUGCGUAGAUAUCUGGAAGAACACCGGUGGCGAAGGCGGCCUUCUGGACGGUGACUGACGCUGAGACGCGAAAGCGUGGGGAGCAAACAGGAUUAGAUACCCUGGUAGUCCACGCCAUAAACGAUGAUGACUAGUUGUUGGGGGAGUUAAAUCCCUUAGUAACGCAGCUAACGCGUGAAGUCAUCCGCCUGGGGAGUACGGUCGCAAGAUUAAA
rnacentral:rRNA from 1 species